CGCCUCUCGAUACACAAAUAUGAGAGGUCCUGCCUGCCCAGUGAUUUUUUCAACGGCCGCGGUAUUAUGACCGUGCAAAGGUAGCAUAAUCACUUGUCUUUUAAAUUAAGACCAGCAUGAAUGGCUAAACGAGAGCCCAACUGUCUCCUUAAGUUAGUCAAUGAAAUUGAUCUUUCCGUGCAGAAGCGGAAAUAAAAAUAUAAGACGAGAAGACCCUGUGGAGCUUAAAAAUAAAGCUAUAUAGAUAUCUACAAUAGCAUAAAAUUUAGGUUGGGGCGACCCUGAGGUAUAAUAUAACCCUCAAGACAACAACUAGAAGGACACUUCAAACAAAAAGUAAAACUAAACCUGACCCAUUAAUGAUCAACGAACCAAGUUACCCCAGGGAUAACAGCGCAAUCCAUUUCCAGAGCCCAUAUCGACAAAUGGGUUUACGACCUCGAUGUUGGAUCAGGACCCCCUAAUGGUGCAACAACUAUUAAAGGUUCGUUUGUUCAACGAUUAAAGUCCU
rnacentral:rRNA from 1 species